rnacentral:rRNA from 1 species
UGGGGAAUAUUGGACAAUGGGCGAAAGCCUGAUCCAGCCAUGCCGCGUGUGUGAAGAAGGUCUUCGGAUUGUAAAGCACUUUAAGUUGGGAGGAAGGGCAGUAAGCGAAUACCUUGCUGUUUUGACGUUACCGACAGAAUAAGCACCGGCUAACUCUGUGCCAGCAGCCGCGGUAAUACAGAGGGUGCAAGCGUUAAUCGGAAUUACUGGGCGUAAAGCGCGCGUAGGUGGUUCGUUAAGUUGAAUGUGAAAGCCCCGGGCUCAACCUGGGAGCUGCAUCCAAAACUGGCGAGCUAGAGUAGGGCAGAGGGUGGUGGAAUUUACUGUGUAGCGGUGAGAUGCGUAGAUAUAGGAAGGAACACCAGUGGCGAAGGCGACCACCUGGGCUCAUACUGACACUGAGGUGCGAAAGCGUGGGGAGCAAACAGG